UGGUCGGUGGAGGAAUGACAAAUGGCGGCCAUACCUUGAAGAAUCGUACAACUGGUCUCCAUCAGCAAAUUACAGCUCCUCUGGAACUCUCUGGGUGUACGGUGAUUCAUUAGGGGUUCGUCUGUAUCAGUCAAUCAGCUCUCGAGCCCUAUGUAGAAAGCUCUACUUUAAAUGCAAAAACAGUUAUAGUUGGCUCUAUCCAAUAAUUAACGAGCAACAGAGCAGGACGAAAAACGAUAACCUCGACUUCCGUGCUGAGGAGGUUUUGAAAGCCAUUCGAAGCGUUCUUAAUACGACUGAGUUACAGCAGCCUUCCAGUGUAUUACUUUUAAACCUUGGACUUCACUAUCCUGUCAGCGUCAAUUUUACAACUUUCCAGAAGGUCAUCGGACAAGUAAUAAAUUU